rnacentral:rRNA from 1 species
CCUACGGGAGGCAGCAGUGGGGAAUAUUGCACAAUGGGGGAAACCCUGAUGCAGCGACGCCGCGUGAGUGAAGAAGGAUUUCGGAACGUAAAGCUCUAUCAGCAGGGAAGAAAAUGACGGUACCUGACUAAGAAGCCCCGGCUAACUACGUGCCAGCAGCCGCGGUAAUACGUAGGGGGCAAGCGUUAUCCGGAUUUAUUGGGUGUAAAGGGAGCGUAGGCGGGAUCGCAAGUCUGGAGUGAAAUCCCAGGGCUUAACCAUGGAACUGCUUUGGAAACUGUGCAGCUUGAGUGCAGGAGAGGUAAGCGGAAUUCCUGGUGUAGCGGUGAAAUGCGUAGAUAUUAGGAGGAACACCAGUGGCGAAGGCGGCUUACUGGACUGUAACUGACGUUGAGGCUCGAAAGCGUGGGUAGCAAACAGGAUUAGAUACCCCUGUAGUC